rnacentral:rRNA from 1 species
UACGUAGGGGGGCAAGCGUUAAUCGGAAUUACUGGGCGUAAAGCGUGCGCAGGCGGUUCGCUAAGACCGAUGUGAAAUCCCCGGGCUUAACCUGGGAACUGCAUUGGUGACUGGCGGGCUAGAGUAUGGCAGAGGGGGGGUAGAAUUCCACGUGUAGCAGUGAAAUGCGUAGAGAUGUGGAGGAAUACCGAUGGCGAAGGCAGCCCCCUGGGCCAAUACUGACGCUCAUGCACGAAAGCGUGGGGAGCAAACAGG